AGCGAGGUCACAGCGGGAACUGGGCAAGGCUGUGGACAGGGAGAGACCGUGCCCUUUGACCCUGCCUGACGGCCGGUUCAGCCAUGCCCAGCCAGCGUAGGAGACCCGAGGUCGCUGCCUUACCUCCGGGGGCCCUCAGAUAGAAACAAGGAUGCUAAGACAGCCAAGGCCUGCAGUCACAAAUUACCACCGACAGGCUUAACGACCCCGACCCCGGAUGUGUGCUCCCUCACAGCUCUGGAAGCCAGCAGCCCAAAAUGCAAGCGCCAAAGGGGCCACGUUCCCUCUGAAGGAUCUGAGAGAUCCUUCCCUGCCUCUUCCAGCCUCCAGGGGCUCCUGGUGUUCCUUGGCUCAUGAAUACAUAACUCCAGCCUCUG